rnacentral:rRNA from 1 species
UACGAAGGGUGCAAGCGUUACUCGGAAUUACUGGGCGUAAAGCGUGCGUAGGUGGUUCGUUAAGUCUGAUGUGAAAGCCCUGGGCUCAACCUGGGAAUGGCAUUGGAAACUGGCGAUCUAGAGUGCGGUAGAGGGUAGUGGAAUUCCCGGUGUAGCAGUGAAAUGCGUAGAGAUCGGGAGGAACACCAGUGGCGAAGGCGGCUAGCUGGCCUGUAACUGACGCUGAGGCGCGAAGGCUAGGGGAGCGAACAGG